AUCGGAUGAUCGACGGAAGUUCGCCGGAAGCUCGCCGGAAGAAGCGAUUGACGCACCGGAGCAAGUUGCAGUAAAUGUCUUAGAGAAUAUCGUAGUUAGCACAAUGAUUAAGUUGGAAAUGGGAGGUGAUCCCAUUAACUUAAUCUUGGGGCAAUUGGGCCCCUGAAAAACCCAAAUUGGGCCGAAUGGAUCAACCCAUUCG
rnacentral:lncRNA from 1 species